rnacentral:rRNA from 1 species
UGCCUAGGUCUGAUGUAAGGGUAGACCUCCCACCCUUGUGUAUUAUUACUUUGUUGCUUUGGCGAGCUGCCUUUGGGCCUUGUAUGCUCGCCAGAGAAUACCAAAACUCUUUUUAUUAAUGUCGUCUGAGUACUAUAUAAUAGUUAAAACUUUCAACAACGGAUCUCUUGGUUCUGGCAUCGAUGAAGAACGCAGCGAAAUGCGAUAAGUAAUGUGAAUUGCAGAAUUCAGUGAAUCAUCGAAUCUUUGAACGCACAUUGCGCCCCUUGGUAUUCCGGGGGGCAUGCCUGUUCGAGCGUCAUUUCAACCCUCAAGCUUAGCUUGGUAUUGAGUCUAUGUCAGUAAUGGCAGGCUCUAAAAUCAGUGGCGGCGCCGCUGGGUCCUGAACGUAGUAAUAUCUCUCGUUACAGGUUCUCGGUGUGCUUCUGCCAAAACCCAAAUUUUUCUAUGGUUGACCUCGGAUCAGGUAGGGAUACCCGCUGAACUUAAGCAUAUCAAUAAGGCGGAGGAA